ACGGACAUGGCGGAAUUGGCAGACGCGCAGGAUUUAGGUUCCUGUCUCUACGAGGUGUGGGUUCAAGUCCCAUUGUCCGUACGA
rnacentral:tRNA from 1 species